rnacentral:lncRNA from 1 species
ACCAAACCAAACCAAACCGCAUGAGUUUUUAUCUCACGGUUUGGAUGACUAUUAUGCUCAAAACCGAACCAAACCGCACCGCGAACACCCCUAGUACUCGUCAGUUAACAUUUUUCAUCAGAUGUAUGAGACUGUGCUUUAAUAUAAUUCAUUUCGGACAAAAUUCAUGUUGUAAUUUAAUAUAUCCAGUAUCUUAUGUUUAACACCCGACUAAAUAUUUUAGACAGUUUAGUAUGGACGCUACAGUCUAUUGUGGUAUAUAAAAUGAAAUGCUUAUACUAAUUUGAUUUACUAGUUUUUCUGAUCCGUAUGCAUCAAAAGAUCCUAAUGAUUAGGGAACUAAGAUUGAACAUAGACAACCAAGUUGUUUGGGCUCCAGUGGCAAGGAGCUCCUUCCAUGGACGUACUCAGGGAAUAUCGGGUUCGAUUCUCAAGGGGAACAACACUUGGUCAGUGUGCAUGCCUCUACGCACGAGCCGGAUUAGUCGCCCAUCUUUGGUGAGUCGGAAACCGGUUCGAAAGCCAAAAGAUUGAACAUAGACUAUGGCAUGGAACUAAGAGCAAAAGUUCGACAUAUUAAAUAUAGAUUAGUUUUAUUCAAAGAAGUACACUCUGUCACUAUUAUAAGCAAAAAUCAAUAUUUUAACCUCAUUCAUUCAUUAAAUGAUGUAUGUAGUCUAGAAUAAAGACUACACACAUUAUUUAACGAAUGAACUUAAAAUAUUGAAUUUUGCUUUUAAUUAAUUAUUUUUUCUUAUAACUCCAAGUCUCAAGAAGUUAGUUCUCUAAUAACUUAAAGUUCACUUUAAGGUAAGUAAAGUCUUAUAAAAGAUUGUUUCAACUAAAACAUGAACUCAAUGCAUUUCAAGAGUGUUUAUAAUCCAAUUAAUAAAUUAAUUAACAUAGAUACCGUAAAGUAUUAUAUUGUUAAAAAAAAAAAAGUUGUUCUCUCAAAAAAAAAAACUGGUAGUAAUAAAAGAAAACAAAUUAGUACAAACUACAAAGUCAAAUAAACAUAAUGUAAUAAUUUUUUUGUUGAAGGAAACAUAAUCUAAUAGUUAUUAUAUCAUGAAUUUUAGUUUUUCUACGUGUGAGAUCAACGUCUUUUUUUUGUAAGGAUAGUUAUGUCUUUAGGGUGCUAAUGUUAAAUCACACAUUAAAAUUAAUAUUUUCAUGUAGUUAAAGUUUAGGGUUAAUUAAGUUUUUGGUUCCUAUAAAUAUAUGCAAUUUUGUUUUUAGUCCCUAUAAAAAUAAAUCAUACUUUCUAGUCCCUACAAAAUUUUCCGUUAGUAUUUUUAGUCCCUGUUAAAUUAAAAUUUGUUUAAUUAUGCUUAAAACUUUAAAUUUUUAAUGAUUUUUUACAUACUUGUUUAAAACAUUAUAAAAGGUUCCGCCACAAUAAAUUAGCUCAAAAUUUUAUUUUUAGGUCCAAAUUUUCGUUAGUUUUAUCUUGAAUUUUGGGCGUUUUAAAAAAACUAUAUUUAAUUCAUUAAAUGUUAAAAAAUUCUAAUUUUUUAUAAAAGAGAUUAUUAUAAUGUUCUUAACAUGUGUGUUAAAAAUCAUUUAAAAAUAUAAAAGUUUAAGUAUAAUUAAACAAAUUUCAAUUUAAUAGGGACCAACGAAUACUUUUAGUCCUUGUAAAAUUAAAAUUUGCUUAAUUGUGCUUAAACUUUUAAAUUUUAUGCAAAGUUCCUCCGCAAAGAAGUAACUUAACAUUUUAUUAUUAGGUCCAAAUUUUCAUUAAUAUAAUCUUGAAAUUUUGGCUUUUAGAAAAAUUCAUAUUUAAUUCAAUACGUGUGAAAAAACUAAAUUUUUUUAUAAAGAGUGUCUUACGAUGUUAUGAACAUGUCUGUAAAAAAUCAUUCAAAAAUGGAGAAUUUAAGCAUAAUUAAACAAAUUUUAAUUUAACAGGGACUAAAAACAAUAACAUAAAAUUUUGUAGGGACUAAAAAGUGUGAUUUAUUUUUAUAGGGACUAAAAACAAAACUGUAGAUAUUUAUAGGGACCAAAAACUUAAUUAACCCUAAAGUUUAUUAUCGCAUCCUUUUUUUACCCAAAAAAAAUUCAUUAUUCUCAUAUAGCGAUCAAGUUUAUUAUCACAUCCCUUUUUGUACCCAAAAAAAAAAAAAUCAUUAUUCUCACAUAAUGAUCUAAAUUGAUUACUCAUUAAAACACAUAUUACAAAAAUUUUAUAAUCGAUGAACGGAAAAUUAUUAUUAAUUAUAGUAAAAUUAUUGAUCAUUUUACAAUCAAGUCAAAUGUUAUUUGAAUUUUUCCCCAAUAGUCUCCUAUGGGAUAUGAACUUCGCUCCUUGAGGUUACAAAUUACAUCCUUAUCAAAACCUCAAGGACAAAUUCAUUACAUUUUUAUUUAUUUAUAUUUAGCAGUAUCAUGCAUCCUAAUAAGUUAUCUAAGCUAUUUUGAAAAGAGGGGAUUUAAGAGAAGGAUUUGAAAAUGGACCCUCAACUAGCCCUUUUGCUAUUAGCUUAUAAGCUGCUUCAGUAAAGUGUGGUCCGUCCCAAUUUAUACGUUUUGAAGGAUCAGAGCAAACUGUAGCGAUAAGUGAUCCACAUCCUCCACAACAUGCUUUGAAAAUAGCAUCCUUAUCAAAACCUGCAUAAUUAAUUUGAUUGAUCCAGCUAGCAUGCAUAAAUGAAAUAAAGAGGAAUAAUUUGUGGUAGCAAUAGCAAUCAAAUACGUAUAUUGUUAUUUCCAAAAUAUAUAAUUAUAUAUAAAUAAUGCUCACCAUAUUGUUGCGGUGUUUGAUAUAAACAUUUGGCAUCAUUAUAGUAGUCAAAGUAUAUUAUCUUAACUUCAGGGUGCUUCUGUCUUAGUGUCUCUAUAGAAUUUUUUAGUUGCCCGUUAAAGUACUCUAUUAAAUUAUUGUAAGCUAUUAAGCACCCAAAUUCAUCAUAGUCUUCUUUCUUAUUACUAUUCACCAAUGUGAACAUUGCAGCACUGCAUCCCAUCGGAAAAUUCCCAGGUACCACUAGCUCUACAGCUCCUUCUUCGAUUAGCACCUAGCACAUAGAAACAAAAUCAAUGUCACAUUUUUUCACGCGGAUCGAUGAUCCAAUCGAUGAUAUUUCUCUUCGAAUUAUAAUUUAGUGAAGUAGUCAUUCCAAAACUUAAUUGCAAUCAAACAUACAUUUGUGGUGUUAGUAAUGGCUUUAACCAUAAAGGGAACUAUUUCUCGAAGUUCUAUAACAGUUUUAUGCUUCAUAUGCUUCAUAAUAUCGUUCCCACCAAUUUCUCCAACUAUAAACAAUGAUUUCUUGAAGUAGAUAUUGCAAUCUAUCAUAUAAUGAAACAAAGUUUGUUAGCCAUAUUGAAAAAAUUUAAUGUAUUUCAUAGAAAAAAAAUAUUCCACUACUUAUGGUAAAACCUUCUUUGCUUUUACAGAGGAGGGGUUUGAUAUUCUUGAACCAUCCAAGUUGAAUGCUCAAUGAGUUAUUUGUAUCUGGAAGAGGAAGCCCGUUUUUGACAUAAUACUCAACAUUGAGCACAGUGGCACCAGCAAAUGCAAAAUUUACUCCUUUUUUGAUAUCUUGGUCUAUGCUUUUAUUCUCAUAGGCAGGCAAAAACGGCAACCCAUAUGCCUCGGCUACAAUUGAAAUGAUCACAUGUUAAAGAACUUUGAUCAAAAUUUAAUCGCAGAUUACUCUUAUUGAUUUCCACAACAGAAAAUAGAUUUUUUAUUUAUUUUUAAUAAAACCUCAUUUCAUAAUUAUUUUUUAUCUAAAUAUCAUCAAGUUAAGACAUUAAAACAUAUUUCACGUCUGUGUAUCUAGGUAUCUGUGUGUGAGAGAGAGAGAUAAUAUAUCGAAAUACAUUUUGUAGAUUGCAUGUAAAGAUUUUUUAUUGUUUCUUAUUCUUAUCAUUGGAGAAAAACUAAUUUAUAAUACUAGAAAAAAACAUAAUCAUACCAAUAAAAUCUAUGAUCAGUCGUCCAUUUGACAUACGUCCUGAAGGAUGUUUAAAGUAACUAGAACCAUAAGGAAUAGGGUUAGGCAUAGGUAGAAAGAUAGAUGCAGCAUUUCCAGUGUCACUUAUAGAAUCACCAAAGUUAAAGAAAGCUUCAUAUGAGAGAGGAUUUGCAUUUGAAACUACAUUUUGUAGAAAACCACAUGUGAAGGUGAUGAGGAAGAGAGUGGAUACAUUCAUGGUUUAAUUGUAUGGAAGGAAAUUAUCAAUAUUAAUUAAGAUGAAUAUGAUGAUGGGUGAUUGGCAAUGAGAUUGAUCAACCUUAUAUAUUGCCACGCAACCGAGUAAUCUUGUCAUAAAACUAUCAUUCUAACCAGGAAGUAGUUAAUUGUUUUGAUUCAAUUAAAGCUGUUAUAUUUUGUAUUAAUUAAUGUUUUUGAACACGUAAGCAUCCUUUAAAUAUGAGUUCAUUACCUCAACAAUUUUUCAUAGUUCAUACCCUUGUUUGGGCUGUUACAAAUGGCUAGUUAGUUUGCAACAAUUCCCUACAACAAGAUUCGUAAACUUAAUUAAACCAAAUGUGCUACAAUAAUUUCCUUUAAUAGAUGUGUUAAUGAUUCAAUGUAGUUUUAGAUUUGUCAUAAAUAUUUUUAAAGAAUAGCCGAUGUAUCAUAUAUUUGCAACACUCAUCAUUCUCAAACAUCCACUCAACACCUUUUUUUUUUUUACCUUACUUUCAAUAUAUUUACCACAUCACUCUUUCUAUUUUUGACUCAUGGUGUUGAAUGAGUGUAUGGGCAUGCACAAAUAACUUUACAAUAGACAAUUAUCUUAUAUUUUAAAUUAGUAAUAUAAGGACCCAUAAUAUGGUUCAAAGGUGAACCACCACCAUUUUUAGUAAAACAAAAGAUUUUGUCCAAUUUUUUUUGUCAAUAUCCACUAUUUUACAAAAUUUUGUAGGAGAGAUUUUAAUUUUGUUUGGUUACAAGGGAAAAUAACAUAAAUAGGAAAAAGAAAACAGAGGCAAGGAACAAAGAAAAAAACUUGAACAGAGAAACAAAAACUAGCCCUUAGAAAAAAAGGUUCCCCAAGCAUUAUUCCCUAGCAGGUCAUUCAUCCCAACAGGAGCAGACAAGUGGUUAGACAACUCAAGAUCAGACGAGACUCCCAUUUUAACCAAAAAACCGGCGCAUUGAUUACCCCUGCAGUGUGUGAACGAUGGUAAUAUUACCGAGACAUAUCAUGUCCUUUAUGUCUUGGAAAGAUCUUAAUUAAAAUAAAACAAAACAAAACUCUCAAAUUUAAAAGCAUAUUAGUAAAAUAAAAUAAAAUUAUUCUCUAUGAAAAAAAUAAAUAUUCUCAAGUGUUAUUGCAUGUAAUAUUUUUCAAUUAAUUUUUCUAGAACUAUUGAAUAUACUAGUUUUAUUCUCAGAGCUAACACUUUCACACUUUAGAGUAUUCUUAUAUUUGUAUGUGUCAAAAUAACUUAGAUAAUUUACGAACUUAUCAACAAAAAAACCCAUGCACGGGAAAAAUUAUUUUUGAAAUAAAUUAAAAGUAAACUACUUUAUACUUCAUAUCAAUUUUAUUUUUAAUUUAACGUGGGGUUUAGGAGUUUAUUUUAAAAACAAAAAAAUAAGAUAGAAAUAGAAGCAAAGGAAAAAUAGGGUUGUAAAUUGCAUAAAAUAUAGGAGUUACACAGAAGGUUUAGUAGAGCAAUGUGCAAUACAUGAAAAAUAGAUAGCAAAACAAUUUAUCUACAAUCAAGUCGAAUUCUAUCACACUAAACAACGCAUAAUUGCUUGAACAAUUAUCUCAAUGAUCUUUCAUCAACCAACUGAUCGUACUUAAAAUCUUGUGUUUGACUACAACGCAUACAUCUACUUGGAAUGAUAAAAACAAUGAUAGAAACAUAUUGUUAAGAACAAACAAAAUUUGACUAAAGCAUGUAAAAAAUAGAGUAAUAACGAAGCAAACUAAAACAAUUUGAAGCACAUAGGUUUUUAGAUUGACAGGACAAACUACAAAAUUCGAAACCAAGAGGAACAAACCAAUUCUGGCCACACAAAAAAAAUGGAGGGAAAAAAUAACAAAUCAAAGGAAAUAUUGUCAAAAAAGGAAGAAGAAAAAACUUUAGGGGGUACUUAUGCCUAAUUUUAAAACUUAUUCUCAUGAAUGUGGAGAUUCCUAUGUUUAGUAUAAAGUUAAAAAAUUACCCCUAGGAAUAAAAAAUUCCUAGGAAAAUAAUAACACUUAUCCAUAAUUUUAUUCCUAAGGAAGUGGGUGGGAAUAAAAGGUUCCCAUGUAAAUAGUAAUAAAAUUGAAACAACUACUCAUAUACCCACUAUCACAAAUAAUUACCAUGAACCUGACAAUUAUUAAUGAAAUAUGAUUUUAAAAAAAUACCGAGGAAUAAGAUGCCCAUUAUUAUUCCCCAGGAAAGAUUAUUACCAUAAGCGAAAUUUUCAAUCGUCAAACAAACUCCCCAUUAGUCUACUCAAACUCCAUUGCCAAGAUAACACUUUAACCUCUUCCACCAUAUCAUCAAUCUCCUUUGUAAUAUUACUCAAACAAGAAUUUUACAUUUUGUACUCGCCAGUUAGUGCAUUAUUACUCAAACAAGGAUUUUACAUUUUGUACACGCCAGUUAGUGCAUAUACAUAUACGGCUUAUGGUUUGUACUCGUUAGGGGUGUUCAAAAUCAAACCAACGCAAUAGAAAAACUGCAAACAAAACCUAUCCAAACCGAAAUCGCAAAAAACCGCACUUGGUUCGGAUGAAUUCGGAUGACUUUUGCACUGAACCGCAUGGCUCGGUUUGGUUUGUGGUUUUCAUCUCAACAACCGAACCAAACCAAACCAAACCACAAGAAUAAUGAAUAUUACUUAAACAUCUACUAGCCCAAUUACAUAGCUCAAGAAUAAUUUCUUUUGAUUCGAUUUGUCCAUUGUUGCAACAUCAGGUUCCAUUCUAAUUUAUUUCCAUCUCUUUCAAUUCAUUUCAAGUGAUGAAUUUGUUUACUUUAAAAGAUUGCUUCAACUAAAACAUGAACUCAAUGCAUUUCAAGAGCG